GAUGAACGCUGACAGAAUGCUUAACGCAUGCCAGUCUUUGGCGAAGCUGUGCUUGCACCGCCUAGCCAAGGCGGACGGGUGAGUAACGCGUAAGGAACUUGCCCUGCAGUCAGGGAUAACAGACGGAAACGACUGAUAAGACCUGGUAAAGUCAGGCGGACUCAUGUCCAGCCUGAUGAAAAGAGAUGCUGCAGGAGAGCCUUGCGUCCUAUUAGCUUGUUGGUGGGGUAACGGCCCACCAAGGCGAUGAUAGGUAGCCGGCCUGAGAGGGUGGACGGCCACAAGGGGACUGAGAUACGGCCCUUACUCCUACGGGAGGCAGCAGUGGGGAAUAUUGGACAAUGGGGGCAACCCUGAUCCAGCAAUUCUGUGUGCACGAUGAAGGUUUUCGGAUUGUAAAGUGCUUUCAGCAGGGAAGAAAAAAAUGACGGUACCUGCAGAAGAAGCGACGGCUAAAUACGUG
rnacentral:rRNA from 1 species